rnacentral:misc_RNA from 1 species
GUUGAACUACUCACACAGCCCUUAAUACUCAAAUCCAUCAUGUGCUAAUUGCUAUGGAAGUCACCGAUUCUAGAUCUAAUAAUUAUAUAUUCUUUGAUGAAAACUUAAAGCUAAUUUUUUUACCAUAACACAGCUCAUAGCUCCAUGGUGCUAGUUUUGAUGGCUUGGUUGGUAUCUUUUAAUUUUGUGCAAGACAAGACACAAUAAAACAACUGCUGCAUUACCUUUGAAUGCCCAAAACAUACCCUUAUAGUUUCAAUAAUGUACUUGUGGUUCAGCUAGCAAUUGUUUAAAAUCACUUGUGGAAGUGCGCGGGUAUUUUUGCUCGUGGAGGAAGUGGUCUUGAUCUUCUGCUGAUUAAAAACUCUUAGUUAAGCACAAAUCAUAUCAGCAUGUUUACAAGAAAUCCUAUAUAAAUUCUAUACAAUGACAUGUGUUUUCUUUCAUUUGUUCAAGUAAAAAGGCCUUAUUAUGACAAUAUUUAUUUUUCUUUUGCCCUCUUUCUGUUCAACAGUGGUGGAAGCUAAAGAUGGAACUAUUUCUUUGGCAUCUGCGUUUGCUGGUCAUCAAGAAGGUAAUGCCAGAAUUGUAAUUUAUUUCAAUUUUGUUAUUUUGUUUUACUUCUAAAUGAGUACUUUUAAGAACAGUUAAACUCCAGUCUGUUGAUAGAUUUUAGUGCUUAAGCCAUUGGUCUUAAAAAAAUUUAUCCUCUGAUCAUUGUCACAUGCUACUAUACUGUAUAUUGUGUGAAGAAACCACUCAAUCUAAAAACUCAAGAUUAUGCGUGAGAACCCAAAAAUAGUUUAAUAUCUCUAAAACUUUUAGGUAAGUGUUCCAAGAAUAGAUUUUGUUUCUCUGAUAUAGUGCACUUACAUUAUGAAAUCUUUAAUAUGAGGAAGUAACAAUAUUUAUGUAAUAGCUGUUUCAGCUAACCCAUGUCCAUUUUCUUUAACACCCUAGCAAUUUUAUCAUGCAAAUGUGCGGAGAAAGUCCAUUUUCAGCCUUGGUUCUAAUAAUUGUUUUUCUGCUCUCUUUCUUUAUGUAACUUGAGCAUGCUUCUGCUUAAUAAUUGAUGAAUUAAUUGAAUUUCUUUAUCACUCUGCUGUUAUAAAGAGAUUGUUUUCUUAAAACCACCAUUGUUGAGGUUCUUGGUAAUUAGUUAUUAUUUAAUUAAUCUUUUGGUUGUUGUUCAACCAGCUGUUCAAGAUAGAGACCACAAAUUCUUAACAAGAGCGGUUGAAGAAGCAUACAAGGGUGUUGAAUGUGGACA